GAGUGGACGAACCUCUGGUGUUCCGGUUGUCACGCCAGUGGCAUUGCCGGGUAGCUAUGUUCGGAAUAGAUAACCGCUGAAAGCAUCUAAGCGGGAAACUAGCCUCAAGAUGAGAUCUCACUGGAACCUUGAGUUCCCUGAAGGGCCGUCGAAGACUACGACGUUGAUAGGUUGGGUGUGUAAGCGCUGUGAGGCGUUGAGCUAACCAAUACUAAUUGCCC
rnacentral:rRNA from 1 species